GUUUAGUCCUGGGCUAUUUCUUCAGCAAGUAUUAUGGCAUAUAGAUUUUUUCAAAUAAGUGUGAGCAUUUCGAAGUAUUUGUUUUCUAUCGAGUACAUGUAUAUGGUGUUCAACGAUCAUCUUUAAAACGUUCAAACUGAACACACUAAAGCACAACAGAAUACCCAUUCAUCAAUUUCUUUAAAUCUGCUUCUCUAUAAUUAGAAAUGAUCUGAAAAAUAGCUUGUAUCAGAAAAGGUUACACAAGUAUAAUCAAUAACAUAACCACAACACUAAUACAGUAUUCAAUUUAAAAUGUCCCUUGCAUCACAGAGGCUGGUAAUACAUUUUGUAAAUUAAAUAUACAUAUAUUGGUUCAAUUAAAUUUUCACUCCAAUAUCAUCAGCCUCUGUUAUAAGUGCUCUUGUACUUCCACAAGUUUUAUUUAUAAUGUUUUAGUUUUAUAUUACAUCUUUAAACUUUUAAUUAUAUUUAGUUCAAAUAUUUUAUACAUUUUUAACUUCA
rnacentral:lncRNA from 1 species